rnacentral:lncRNA from 1 species
CCCUCUGCGCCCUCUCGCUCCCUGGCUCGGCCGCAGCAGCAGAAUGAGAACGGUUAUUAGUUAAUAGCCAUCAGAGACAGACCAAGCACAAGGUUUGUAUUUCCUGAAGGAGGCCGUCAGUGUCAAUGCUGUACUAACGACGGUACUGUAGACUUCUCAGUCCUUUAUGUGGAGCUGGGGGCAGGAAGAAUUGCUUCUGGAAGCUGAUGGAGUUGGACAUGUGGCUUUCUAGAAUCUGGAUGUGAUGGUGCAGGAAAAACUCCUGCCCAUUGAGAGGGCUCCGUAAGUGCUUCCCAAAAGAGAAUGAGAAGGAAAAGGAGAUCUCCACAGGAACUGCCUCCUUGGAUCCAGGGCAAAAAUGAACCUCCUAUUGGAGAGAAGUGCCCAGCUUGUCAAGAAGUUGAAUCGGUGCAACCAGCGUUUGUGAAAGCAGCAUUUCCCAUUUCACAUAAAGUCAGCUUCUGGCCAACUGGACAAGUCUGAACAAAUAUGAAACCCACUAAAAGGCCAGUGACAGGUGCACACACUACUGACUCUGGCUA